rnacentral:rRNA from 1 species
GACGAACGCUGGCGGCGUGCCUAACACAUGCAAGUCGAACGGGGUGAAGCCCUUCGGGACUUCACUUAGUGGCGAACGGGUGAGUAACGCGUGAGGAACCUGCCUUUCAGUGGGGGACAACAGUUGGAAACGACUGCUAAUACCGCAUAACACUUUUUGGGGACAUCCCUAAAAAGUCAAAGCUUUAUGUGCUGAAAGAUGGACCCGCGGCGCAUUAGCUAGUUGGUGAGGUAAUGGCCCACCAAGGCGACGAUGCGUAGCCGACCUGAGAGGGUGAUCGGCCACAUUGGAACUGAGACACGGUCCAGACUCCUACGGGAGGCAGCAGUGGGGAAUAUUGCACAAUGGGGGAAACCCUGAUGCAGCAACGCCGCGUGAGUGAUGACGGUCUUCGGAUUGUAAAGCUCUGUCUUUAGGGACGAUAAUGACGGUACCUAAGGAGGAAGCCACGGCUAACUACGUG